ensembl:lncRNA
CUGAGCUGUUCAUUAUCUCCAGGAUCGUGAUAUAGUGGUGUUCUCACCCUGUUCAUUAUCUCCAGUAUCGUGAUAUUCUCACCCUGAGCUGUUCAUUAUCUCCAGUAUCGUGAUAUAAUGGUGUUACCUCACCCUGAGCUGUUCAUUAUCUCCAGUAUCGUGAUAUAGUGGGGUUCUCUCACCCGGAGCUGUUCAUUAUCUCCAGUAUCGUGAUAUAGUUGUGUUCUCUCACCCUGAGCUGUUCAUUAUCUCCAGUAUCGUAACAUAGUGGUGUUCUCACCCCGAGUUGUUCAUUAUCUCCAGUAUUGUGAUAUAGUGGUGUUACCUCACCCUGUUCAUUAUCUCCAGUAUUGUGAUAUAGUGGUGUUACCUCACCCUGUUCAUUAUCUCCAGUAUCGUGAUAUAGUGGUGUUACCUCACCCUGUUCAUUAUCUCCAGUAUCGUGAUAUAGUGGUGUUACCUCACCCUGUUCAUUAUCUCCAGUAUCGUGAUAUAGUGGUGUUACCUCACCCUGUUCAUUAUCUCCAGUAUCGUGAUAUAGUGGUGUUACCUCACCCUGUUCAUUAUCUCCAGUAUCGUGAUAUAGUGGUGUUACGUCACCCUGAGCUGUUCAUCAUCUCCAGUAUCGUGAUAUAGUGGUGUUACGUCACCCUAUUCAUUAUCUCCAGUAUCGUGAUAUAGUGGUGUUACCUCACCCUGUUCAUUAUCUCCAGUAUCGUGAUAUAGUGGUGUUACCUCACCCUGUUCAUUAUCUCCAGUAUCGUGAUAUAGUGGUGUUAUCUUACCCCGAGCUGUUCAUUAUCUCCAGUAUCGUGAUAUAGUGGUGUUACGUCACCCUGAGCUGUUCAUUAUCUCCAGUAUCGUGAUAUAGUGGUGUGUUCUCACCCUGUUCAUUAUCUCCAGUAUCGUGAUAUAGUGGUGUUCUCACCCUGUUCAUUAUCUCCAGUAUCGUGAUAUAGUGGUGUUCUCACCCUGUUCAUUAUCUCCAGUAUCGUGAUAUAGUGGUGUUCUCACCCUGUUCAUUAUCUCCAGUAUCGUGAUAUAGUGGUGUUCUCACCCUGUUCAUUAUCUCCAAUAUCGUGAUAUAGUGGUGUUACCUCACCCUGUUCAUUAUCUCCAGUAUUGUGAUAUAGUAGUGUUAUCUCACCCGAGCUGUUCAUUAUCUCCAGUAUCGUGAUAUAGUAGUGUUACCUCACCCUGAG